rnacentral:rRNA from 1 species
UGGUUAACUGUGGUUCUGUCUCCACGUCGGGUUUGCGCGUUUCGGCGUGCCUUGCUGAUUUGAUUACCCUCGAAUAACUCCAGGUUGUUCAUAAAAGGCUUUUGCCUAUAUGAUUUUGCAUGGAAUAAUGGAACAAGACUUCGGUCUGUUUUGUUGGUCUUAAGACCGUUGUAAUGAUUAAAAGGGAUUGACGGGGGCAUCCGUAUCGCUACGCGAGAGGUGAAAUUCUUGGACCGUAGCGGGACGCCCUACUGCGAAAGCAUUUGUCAAGAAUGUCUUCAUUAAUCAAGAACGAAAGUCAGAGGAUCGAAGGCGAUUAGAUACCGCCCUAGUUCUGACCGUAAACGCUACCAACUAGCGAUGAGGCGGUGGCAAUUUCGCCCUGCCUCGGAGCUUCCCGGAAACGAAAGUCUUCGGGUUCCGGGGGUAGUAUGGUUGCAAAGCUGAAACUUAAAGGAAUUGACGGAAGGGCACCCCCAGGAGUGGAGCCUGCGGCUUAAUUUGACUCAACACGGGAAAUCUCACCCGGCCCGGACACUGUUAUGAUUGACAGAUUGAGAGUUUUUUCUUGAUUCGGUGGUUGGUGGUGCAUGGCCGUUCUUAGUUCGUGGAUUGAUUUGUCUGCUUUAUUGCGAUAACGAACGAGACCGCAACCUCUAGAUAGUUCUCUGAUAGCUUUGUCAGUUGAACUUCCUAGUGGGGUGAGUGG